rnacentral:SRP_RNA from 1 species
UCGUGCUAGGCGGGGAGGUAGCGGUGCCCUGUACCUGCAAUCCGCUAUAGCAGGGUUGAAUUCCUGUCACAGGCUUAUUUCUGUUAGGUCUGCCCUCUUUAAGUGGUGAUGAAAAUCGGGUCCUGCGCAAUGGAAAUCUAUGAACCCCGUCAGGUUCGGAAGGAAGCAGCGGUAAGUAGUCAAUUCCGUGUGCCGUAGGAUUGCCUGGUUAGAGCUAACUGUGGAGGUAACGCUUGUAGUAAUCUGUCGAAGAUGGGUGCACGG